rnacentral:tRNA from 1 species
GGCUUAGCUCAGGAGUUAGAGCAUCGCAUUUGUAAUGUGAUGGUCCUCAGUUCGAUUCCGAUAGCC